rnacentral:rRNA from 1 species
GACAGAGGUGCCAAGCGUUAGGCGGAAUCACUGGGCUUAAAGCGUGUGUAGGCGGACCGUUAAGUGCCUUGUGAAAUCCCACGGCUCAACCGUGGAACUGCUGGGCAUACUGGCGGUCUUGAGUCACCCAGGGGUUGCCGGAACAAAUGGUGGAGCGGUGAAAUGCGUAGAUAUCAUUUGGAACGCCAAUGGCGAAAGCAGGCAACUGGGGGUGAUCUGACGCUGAGACACGAAAGCCAGGGGAGCGAACGGG